rnacentral:lncRNA from 1 species
CCCGUCCCGCCCGGCUGCUGCCCGCGUCCACCCCGCCGCGAUGGCGACGCGCUCGUGCCGGGAGAAGGCGCAGAAGCUGAACGAGCAGCACCAGCUCAUCCUGUCCAAGCUGCUGAGGGAAGAGGACAACAAGUACUGCGCCGACUGCGAGGCCAAAGGUCCUCGAUGGGCUUCCUGGAAUAUUGGUGUGUUUAUUUGCAUCAGAUGUGCUGGCAUCCAUAGGAAUCUUGGGGUUCAUAUAUCCAGGGUCAAGUCAGUCAACCUAGACCAGUGGACACCAGAACAGAUCCAGUGCAUGCAAGAUAUGGGAAAUACUAAAGCAAGACUACUAUAUGAAGCCAAUCUUCCAGAGAACUUUCGAAGACCACAGACAGAUCAAGCAGUGGAAUUUUUCAUCAGAGAUAAAUACGAAAAGAAGAAAUACUACGAUAAAAAUGCUAUAGCUAUUACAAAUCUGCAGAAGAAAGAAGAUCAGCAAUUGGAACCUAAAAAAAGUACCAGCCCUAAAAAAGCUGCAGAGCCCACUGUUGAUCUUUUAGGACUUGAUGGGCCUGCUGAGGUGCCGGUGACCAAUGGGAGCGCAGUCGUGGGGCCAGCCCUGAACGAUGACCUGGACAUCUUUGGACCGAUGAUCUCUAACCCAUUACCUGCAACUGUCAUGCCCCCGGCUCAGGGGCCGUCCUCUGCACCAGCAGCUGCCACUCUGUCUGCAGUGACGUCUGGGGACCUGGAUCUGUUCACUGAGCAAGCUGCAAAGUCAGAAGAGGUGGCCAAGAAGCAGCUCUCCAAAGACUCCAUCUUGUCUCUGUAUGGCACCGGGGCCAUCCAGCAGCAGGGUGCUCCUGGUGUGUUUAUGGGACCCACGAAUCUACCAUUUACCUCACAAGCACCGGCUGCAUUUCCAGGCUUCCCGUCCAUGGGCGUGCCUGUGCCCGCGGCUCCCGGCCUGGUGGGCAGCUCGCUGGGGCCGAGCGCGGGCAUGAUGGUGGGCAUGCCAGUGCCCAAUGGCUUCAUGGGCAGCGCACAGACUGCUGUGAUGCCGCUGGCGCAGGGCGUGGUCGGGCCCCCAGGGAUGGUCGCUCACUUGGGCGCAGCCCAGGGGAAGUUUGGCCUGCAGCCAGCUCCGCAGAGCCCAUGGAACCUCCCCCAGGUGAACCAGCAGAUGGCUGGCCUGAGCCUGGGUGGCGCAGCCUCAGCGGCGGGCUUCGGGCAGCCGCCCAGCACCUCAGCGGGGGCCGCGGGCUGGUCCGGGGGCUCGUCGGGGCAGACGCUCAGCACGCAGCUGUGGAAGUGACCGCCCCGCUGGCAUUCCUGCUCAGACACACCCAGUUCCCCUGUCCAUUCAUGUACAUACAUGUUUUUUUCUUUUCCCCCAUUUGUUCAUAUUAAGAGUUACCUGAUUGACCGUGUUGGUCUUUACUGAUUGAAUUUGCUGUGGUGAAAAGCAGGUUGAGAAACCGUUCCAUGUCGAGGGCAGCUUUGCUCACAAUUCCCAGGAUUUCGCAGACACAGUCUCUGGGAAGCUGCUCAGUCAACGUGCAUAAUCAGUUUCCCUCUCGAUGAAAUUAUAGCUCUCAUGUUUGCAUAUAAGGGAAGUAGUUAUCAUGUUAGUAAUACCUCUAACAGUAUGAGCCCCACCCCCAGAUUAGCCAGUAAUCCUGUAGGAAGGUACUGUAUGAUCAAAUGUUUAAUCAU